rnacentral:rRNA from 1 species
AUGUCCGACUUUGACCUUCGAGGCCGAUGGACGCCUUCCUUCGUCAUGGAGGAAGACGUGCUAAAGCUGAGAGAGGCCAGGUUUUCGACCGGCGAAAUCUCGCAUAGGCUGCCUGCUCACGGGCAGGUUAUUCCUACUCCCAAGCAUGGUGAGAGCGUGGUGUUCAUGUCUCAUUUCCUCCGAGGGCUAGGCUUCGCGACGGAUCCCAUCGUGAGGGGGGUCAUGUUUUAUUAUGGGCUGGAAUUUCACGACUUAGCUCCAGAGUCCAUCCUCCACAUCUCAUCGUUCAUUGUCGUGUGCGAAGCCUUCCUCCGUAUUACUCCUCACUUCGGACUGUGGCUUAAGACUUUUAAAGUAGAGCCGAAGAUGAUAGAGGGACAGCACGCGGAGUGCGGAGGCGCUAUUAUAAGCAAGAAUGCUGACGCUCCAUGGCCCGAGGGCUCUUUUCAAGAGGAGUUCAGCUUAUGGCAACAAGAGUGGUUUUAUAUCACAGCUCCCAGGGGCACCAAGUCGGUGGCGCCGCCUACUUUCCGCUCGGGUCCCCCUCCACAACUGGCGUCAUGGGUCAAUAAGGGGCUGGACUGGGGGUCGGCAAAGGACGUGCCCCUGUUGCAGGGCCGCAUCCGAGAUCUCCUAGAAAGAGACAUCAGUCUGGUCAUGGUGACGCAGAUUAUGUUAAUUCGCCGAGUUCUGCCCAAACGUCGCCCCCUCCGCCUGUGGGAGUUCAACCCGGAGGGACCACGAGCUCUCCAACAUUUUCUUGGCAUGACACCCGAGGAGAUGUACAAAUUGUUCUUCGGACCACAAGUAGUGUGUCCGAAUUCUACGGAGGACGCAGGUUUGAGCUGCAAUCGUCCGGAUACUCAAGUAAGUAGCCCUGUGCCUGGACACACCAUCCGUUCAUUUAUCACAACAUCACCCUUAAAAGAGUUGUCUUUGAAACAGGAGUGGGUAGCGAAGGCGAAGUUAAUCAGGUGUCCGGUCCCCCUUCCCAAGACCUUGUCAGAUCCCGUGCUAACCAGGAUGCUGGAGAUCGUGCCUUCGAAAGAAAGCGAAGGGGAGGACAAAGAAGUUGCUGCCUCCCCGAAGGAGGCUGUCUGGAAAGGAGGAAUCGAAAAUUCCUCUACUCAGGGGAGGAAGAGGACUGCCUCUGAAGACCCGGAGUCCAUGGUCUCAAAGCGGGGGAAGAAAUCUUUGCCAGAGGGUCCUGUGUCGGGGGAUACCUCGGCCGUACUAUGCCCUCAAGGGGAUCAGCCCUUCACCGAGCCGUAA